UACAGAGGUCUCAAGCGUUGUUCGGAUUCAUUGGGCGUAAAGGGUUUGUAGGUGGCCAACUAAGUCAGACGUGAAAUCCCUCAGCUUAACUGGGGAACUGCGUCUGAGACUGGAUGGCUUGAGUGCAGGAGAGGAACGCGGAAUUCCAGGUGUAGCGGUGAAAUGCGUAGAUAUCUGGAGGAACACCGGUGGCGAAGGCGGCGUUCUGGACUGCAACUGACACUGAAAAACGAAAGCCAGGGGAGCAAACGGG
rnacentral:rRNA from 1 species